GGGUGUUUGGCCGAGUGGUUAAGGCGCUGUGUUUAGGUCUUCUCUCAUGAGAAACCAGUAACCCGCAGUGGGAAACCGCGCAGGUUCGAAUCCUGCAGCACUCA